rnacentral:rRNA from 1 species
GCGUCCGAUUAGCUAGUUGGUGAGGUAAUGGCCCACCAAGGCUUAGAUCGGUAGCCGGCCUGAGAGGGCGCACGGCCACACUGGAACUGAGACACGGUCCAGACUCCUACGGGAGGCAGCAGUGGGGAAUCUUGCACAAUGGACGAAAGUCUGAUGCAGCAACGCCGCGUGGGGGAUGAAGCUUCUCGGAGUGUAAACCCCUUUCGACCCGGAAGAAUGCCCGCAAGGGUAUGACGGUACGGGUAUAAGAAGCCCCGGCUAACUACGUGCCAGCAGCCGCGGUAAUACGUAGGGGGCGAGCGUUGUCCGGAAUUAUUGGGCGUAAAGAGCUCGUAGGCGGCUUAGCAAGUCACGUGUGAAAUCUCCAGGCUCAACCUGGUGAUGCCACGUGAGACUGCUAUGGCUAGAGUCCGGUAGGGGACCAUGGAAUUCCUGGUGUAGCGGUGAAAUGCGCAGAUAUCAGGAGGAACACCAGUGGCGAAGGCGGUGGUCUGGGCCGGAACUGACGCUGAGGAGCGAAAGCGUGGGGAGCGAACAGGAUUAGAUACCCUGGUAGUCCACGCUGUAAACGAUGGGUACUAGGUGUUCGGGGUAUUGACCCCCUGAGUGCCGACGCUAACGCAUUAAGUACCCCGCCUGGGGACUACGGCCGCAAGGUUAAA